AUUGAACGCUGGCGGCAUGCCUAACACAUGCAAGUCGAACGGCAGCACAGCAGUAGCAAUACUGUGGGUGGCGAGUGGCGGACGGGUGAGGAAUACGUCGGAAUCUGCCCAGUCGUGGGGGAUAACUAGCCGAAAGGUUAGCUAAUACCGCAUACGACCGAGAGGUGAAAGCGGGGGGACCGCAAGGCCUCGCGCGAUUGGAUGAGCCGACGUCGGAUUAGCUAGUUGGCGGGGUAAAGGCCCACCAAGGCGACGAUCCGUAGCUGGUCUGAGAGGAUGAUCAGCCACACUGGAACUGAGACACGGUCCAGACUCCUACGGGAGGCAGCAGUGGGGAAUAUUGCACAAUGGGCGCAAGCCUGAUGCAGCGACGCCGCGUGAGGGAUGACGGCCUUCGGUUGUAACCGUCUUCAUAGGACGAAGCGCAAGUGACGGUACCGUAUAGAAGAAGACACCGGCCAACUACGUAGCCAGCAGCCGCGGUAA
rnacentral:rRNA from 1 species